rnacentral:rRNA from 1 species
UACAGAGGUCUCAAGCGUUGUUCGGAUUCAUUGGGCGUAAAGGGUGCGUAGGCGGCGCGGUAAGUCGGGUGUGAAAUCUUGGAGCUUAACUCCGAAACUGCAUUCGAUACUGCCGUGCUUGAGGACUGGAGAGGAGACUGGAAUUCCCGGUGUAGUGGUGAAAUGCGUAGAUAUCGUGAGGAAGACCAGUGGCGAAGGCGGAUCUCUGGACAGUUCCUGACGCUGAGGCGCGAAGGCCAGGGGAGCAAACGGG